UGCGGCGUCAUUGACAAAAGAACCAU
rnacentral:piRNA from 1 species